rnacentral:rRNA from 1 species
AUUAAAGCGAGUAAAGGGCGUACGGUGGAUGCCUAGGCGCAAAAGACCGAUGAAGGACGUAGUAGGCUGCGAUAAGCCUCGGGGAGCUGUCAAACGAGCUUCGAUCCGGGGAUUUCCGAAUGGGAUAACCCAGCUGGAGUUAUGUCCAGUUACCUUAUAGUAAAUUCAUAGCUGUAAGGAGGGUACGCAGAGAAGUGAAACCUCUUAGUAUCUGCAGGAAAAGAAAACAAUAGUUUAUUCCCUUAGUAGUGGCGAGCGAAACGGGAAGAGCCUAAACUUAUACUGUGUAAGAAGGAUCUGAUUUGUGAUUCGCGUUGCGAUGAGCGAUGAGGAGAAUUCGCAGGUUACCGCUCGUGCAGUAUGAGUGUUGUAAGAGUUAGGAGACCAGGCGGUAGACUGGUCGGGAAGUUAAAAAUUUUCUCAUUAACAGAACAUAUCUGGAAAGAUAGACCAAAGAGUUGUGAAAGUCACGUAUGUAAAAAUGAGAGAACUUCUUUCUAAUUUCUUAAGUACCACGGGACACGAGAAACCCUGUGGGAAGCUGCCAAGACCACUUGGCAAGGCUAAAUAUUUUUUGCGACCGAUAGUGGACAAGUGCCGUGAGGGAAAGGUGAAAAGAACCCCUGUUAGGGGAGUGAAAUAGUAACUGAAACCGUAUGCUUACAAACAGUCGAAGCUGGUAUAUCCAGUGACGGCGUGCCUAUUGAAGAAUGACUCAGCGAGUUCGUUGUGUGCGGCAAGGUUAACCAUGUUUAUUGGGGAGCCGAAGCGAAAGCGAGUAUGAAUAGUGCGAUUUAAGUCGCAUGCACGAGACCCGAAACCAAGUGAUCUAACCAUGAACAGGGUGAAAUUUUGAGAAAUCAUUAUGAAGGCCCGAACUCUUUAGAGUUACAAAUCUAUGAGAUGAUUCAAGGUUAGCGGUAACAUGCCAAACGAACUUGGUGAUAGCUGGUUCUCCCCGAAAUAGCUUUUGGGCUAGCGUCAUAUUUUAAAUCAUGGGGGUAGAGCACUGAUUAGAUCUGAGGCUCGAAAGAGUACUCAAUCUACUCAAACUCCGAAUACCGUGAUGAACAAUAUGGCAGUUAGAGUCAGGGAUCUAAGUUCCUGCGCUCGAGAGGGAAACAGCCCAUAUCGUCAGAUAAGGACCCUAAAUUCUACCUAAGUGGGAAAGGAGGUGGAUUUUCUCAGACAGCUAGGAGGUUGGCUCAGAGGCAGCCAUCCUUUAAAAAGUGCGUAAAAGCUUACUAGUCAAGAGAUUCUGCACUUAAAAUUCAACGGGGCUAAGGUAGAUUCCGAAGCUGCGAUUCUUUUAGUAUUUUUAUACUAGUGGGAGGUAGGGGAGCGUUUUAUACAUGACCGAUUAGCACUCGGUCCAACGCUGUGAAGGUGACCCGUGAGGAGUUGCUGGAGCGUAUAAAAGUGAGAAUGCUGAGAUGAGUAACGUAAAACAGGUGAAAACCCUGUUCGCCGUAUAUCUAAGGUUUCCAUGGCUAUGUCAGUCAACCAUGGGUUAGUCGGUCCUAAGGAGAGGCUGAAAAGCAUAUCCGAUGGACAACAGGUUAAUAUUCCUGUACCGCUGAUACUUGCGAUGGAGUGUGGGAAAUGAAAAGGCAGGCCCCUAAUUGGUUUGGGGUAUAAACAAUGAGGUAGUUCAUUUUGGAAAAUCCGGAUGAAUGCUUCCACUUCGGUGGAUAUAAUCAAGUUGUGAUUUAAAGGUGACCUUCGGGAAUCCAAUCUGUCAGACUAUUUCUCCUGGAAAAACUUCUAGCUCUAAAAACUUCGGUUUUUAGUAUUUGUAUCUGCGACCGUACUGCAAUCCGACACCGGUGGAUUGGUGUAAAUGCACCAAGGCGUACGAGUGAGGCGUUGUCAAGGAAUUCGGCAAGUUGACCCCGUAAGUUCGCGAGAAGGGGGACCUUCCAUUAUAAGUUUUUAAUUUGUAAUGAUGAAGGUGGCACAGAAUAGGGAAGAACGACUAGUUAACAAAACUACAGGUGCUUGCAAACUCGUAAGAGGAUGUAUAAGUGCUGACGCCUGCCCAAUGCCAGAAGGUUAAAGGAGCCUGUGAUCUGUCUGCUGAAUGCACUUCGGUGCUUCAGUGGUGGUGAAGCGGGUAACCAAAGCCCUGGUCAAUGGCGGCUGUAACUAUAACGGUCCUAAGGUAGCGUAAUACCUCGUCACUUAAUUAGUGACUUGCAUGAAAGGCGUAACGAUUCUUCCUCUGUCUCGACAGCGCGCUCGGUGAAAUUGAAAUGGCUGUGAAGAUGCGGCCUACCCAUACCAGGACAAAAAGACCCCGUGGAGCUUUACUGCAGCUUUGUAUUGGAAUAAGGCUUCAGAUGUAGAGAAUAGGAGGGAGACUGUGAAGCCGAUCCGUCAGGAUUGGUGGAGUCAUCAGUGUAAUACCUCUCUUUUGGUGUUUUAUUUCUAAC